UUGCAGGUGGGUGGGGCGUGACCUCUACAAAAUAAAGCUCCACCCACCCUACACCCUAUAUUGUACUCACGGACAACGCUUGGUCGCAAGACAGUCACACAUUGUUUCAAUUUCUUGUCCCAGCUUUGACAGGUGUCUUCAGGCUGUGCACCGUGAACAACAGAUAUCAUCAGUACUGAUGGCUGAGGCAUGGAGCUUGGAGGAAGCCAUGGAGACUGACAGUCUGGACAAUAGGACCAACAGGGCAGACCAAGAACCCAUGGAAUUGGAAAGCAUAAGGAUAUCUACUCCACCACCAAAGCAGAAGGAAUAUCUCAAGCUGGCCAGCAAAAAUCUCAACAGGCUGCUGUUACGCCCCCCACGAGUACAGCACAUUUCGGAAAGAGAUAUGAUGUUAAUCAAUGAAAACCUGUCAAGCCAAUGUAACACUUACACUACAAAACAUGACUUUGAAGAGAUUGGCUCAAUGUCACGAUGCAUCUUUGGUCUCAUGACUAAGAAACUUUUCAAAGAGGUGAAAAUGGCUCUCAGGAUGAUACGAGGGAGAGUGCAAUCUCGUAAUAGAAAGAGGGAGAAAGAAAAAGAGAUGACCAUUGUAAAAAAACAAAGGGACCUAAACAGUGGAAUGGAAACAAUAUUGGCUAAGUUUAAACAGAUGCGACUGUAAGACAGUCCAUUUAUCUGAACUGUAAGAGGUCAAGGUACAAAUUUCAAAGAGAAUAAUUGGGCAAACCCAAAAGUUAAAAAAAAGUUAAACAUGUUACUUUCGUAAAAUAAAAAUGAACAUACUAUUGUCAUGAACCAUGAUUGUUCCUGUGUUGUUUUUGUGGUUUGCCAUGUUCAUUUCCUGUUUUAGUUUGGCCUUGUUUCCGGUUUUACUUUGAAAGGACUUCCUGCUCUAUUCAGAUCACAGCUAUCUUCUGCUACUUCCGGUUCUCAUUACAUACACCUGUCCGUUAUCAGUAAUCACACACCUGUAUAAAAGCACCAGUACUCACCUAAGCAAACUGCCACAUUGUUGCGUAUACUCACCACUAUCCAGCAUUCUUCUGUGUUUUUUUUUCCUGAUCCUGACCUUGUUCUGACCACCAUUACUGAAUCCUAUCUGAUGCUUGCCUGCCGUGUAAACCGAGUCUGCCUGAUAACCUUUGGCAAGAUCUCAACCUUGAAAAGGGCAGGCAGACUAAAAGUGCCACAUCUGAUACCACCCAAGAGGUGCAGAGAUACCUUGAAGAGUGCAAUAUUGCCAGGUCCCAGGAUCCUACGAGAUCCUGGGACAACCAAAGGACAAUCUAUCCAAUUUACAACACAAUACAAUUUCUCUGCACUCCAGGCUCAUCUGUGCCACGUGAACGGGUCUUUUCUACAGCUGGAGAAGUUGCAUCAAAAAAGUGUAACAGACUCAGUUUUAAAAGGUUGGAAAAACUUUUUUUUUUAAUAAAAAAUGGUAAAAUUAUUUAUUGACUGUAUCUGAAAAUAUCGAAUAUAUUUUUAUUUAAAUUACGAUAUAAAAUAAAACUAUAUAAAAUGCAAUGACUUAAAUUAUAUUAUCAGGUCAUCAAAUCAGUGUCAUUUGAGUGUAGCCAUUUUUAAAGUCCAACAGGUGUCAGUAUACCGUAUCGACACAGUAUCAAUACCAAUAGUUGCCAUGUGUCGAAACACUUCCUGGCGCCCCAUCUACCCAUCACAAGAUACUUGUUUUAUAGAAUAAAGUUACAAGAAAUCCACUGUCCUCACCAUUUUACAUCGAGGAAACACGUGUGGUCUUCACCUGUUAACAAUUUUAAUCGAAAAUAGGUUGGUCCGUCCACGAAUUGUGUCCGGACGUAUUUAUUAUUGAAACAAAACGUUCCUACUUUCGGUGUCUUACGAGUUCAACAUUAUUGCUCGCCUCUCUCAAACAAUGAUUAAAGUAAAUUAGUAGUAGGAAAAAAAUAUGUGACCAAAGGGUAAAUUGGCAUUGGUACAUGUGCUUAGGUACAAAGAAGUACAAUUCAGAUUUAAAAGGUUUCCUAAUGUAAAUAUUAUCUGUUACUUUGCCUUGCUACCUCAAUUACGAGCUGAGAUCAAAUUAUUUUUGGAUUCAAACCAGACGACCAAGUAGCAGAUUGUAAGGAAAUAAAAGACCUAGCCUUAACAAGGUGUUUUUUUGGUGUGAAAUGUGCCACUGUUGAUGUUUUUGUUAUAAUACCUUUGUAUUCAUAACAUUUUAAAUACAGAUCUUAUUUACUUUUUUUUACCAUCUACAUGAUGUAAAUGAUCCUUUUCAGUAAAUACAUGUUCUGUUGUUUUGUUUACUCCACCACUGGAAAAGAGGUUCAAACAUCUUGUAUAAUGUGUGUAUUUGUUGGACUUCUUUUAAGUAAGUUCAAUGCAAAAUAUCAAUGCCAACUUCCACAGAAGAGGAAACACCCCAGGGAAGGAGACUCUGAAAGAACAAGUGAAUUCUAAACAAGACAAUUAGUCAGAACGUGUUUGCACAUUUCUGUGCUUAACAGGUGCCAAUGGUAGAAAAAAAACGUGAACAAUUAAUUGUAAAGUACAAUGUAGAAGCCCUGCUUUACAAAUAAGCUGCAUGCUUCAAAACUGCUGCUACCUAAAGCAAAAUAAUGUGCAAGGUUUAAACUGUAUUCUCUGUAAGAAUCCACACAUCUGGACAGUUCUACCUGGGGUCACAGAAUCAAUCAGAGCUGUGAUACGACUCAUCAUCUGUGUAUUACAGCUUUUACACCUUUCACAGAUAAAACAGCUCACACUCAUGUGAAAUGACUCAGAUGAAUAAAGAUUCAGCAGACGUCACAACAUGAGCUGGCUGCUCUGUCACAGAGGAGGAUCAUAAAACGCACAAACGUCAUUCAG